AUAUAAAGGCUGUUCCAUUUCUCACAUUCUAUGCUUCUGUGACUCCACAAACAUAAAAAUUGUCUUAAAUGCCUUGGUUUGAAUGAGAGAAUAAAAGCUGCUAAACUACCUGUGCUCAUAAAAUUGCAUUCAAAUUAUGAACACCUGCAUGAGAAACAACCAACACUGAAUCACUGGUGCAGUCCACUGGUGAUUAAUUAGGUUCUUGGAAUCAACUCACCUCCUUAUUCAUCACAUCCUUGACACAGAGUAUCAAACUUCUUCCCCAAGAAUUCACCUCAACUAAUCUUAUGUUGAGGGAAUUCAGAUGAGAACUCCAACUUAGGGACAACCAAGCUACAAUUUGGAGACUUGGCAAGUACUAUCAGUGUGCUGGUAACUUUUGAUUCUUUCUCGUCAAUCUAGAUGUGUCCCCUUACUUUUUAGGCUUCUGUAGCCAACUUCCUUCUGAAAAUUUUAAUUUGCAAGAAAACCAAAGAGUGAUUUUGUUUGCAUUUCACUAUUGCCAAGUUCUGCUUUGGACUAUAGGAA